rnacentral:misc_RNA from 1 species
UUUCCGUAGGUGAACCUGCGGAAGGAUCAUUAUCGUACAAAAUGUGAGGGGCAUGCGAGGGCUGUCGCUAACCCAAAAGUCAUGCACGCCCGAGUGUGUCCUCUUGCAUAAUUAUCCAUCUCACCCUUUGUGCAUCACCGCGUGGGCACCCUUCGGGAUCAUCUCGGAGGGGGGCCCGCGUUUUCACACAAACCCCCCUUUUAAAAGUGUAGAAUGACCACAUUUAUGCAAUCAAUACAACUUUCAACAACGGAUCUCUUGGCUCUC